AGCGUACACGGUGGAUGCCCUGGCAGUCAGAGGCGAUGAAGGACGUGCUAAUCUGCGAUAAGCGUCGGUAAGGUGAUAUGAACCGUUAUAACCGGCGAUUUCCGAAUGGGGAAACCCAGUGUGUUUCGACACACUAUCAUUAACUGAAUCCAUAGGUUAAUGAGGCGAACCGGGGGAACUGAAACAUCUAAGUACCCCGAGGAAAAGAAAUCAACCGAGAUUCCCCCAGUAGCGGCGAGCGAACGGGGAGGAGCCCAGAGCCUGAAUCAGUGUGUGUGUUAGUGGAAGCGUCUGGAAAGGCGCGCGAUACAGGGUGACAGCCCCGUACACAAAAAUGCACAUGCUGUGAGCUCGAUGAGUAGGGCGGGACACGUGGUAUCCUGUCUGAAUAUGGGGGGACCAUCCUCCAAGGCUAAAUACUCCUGACUGACCGAUAGUGAACCAGUACCGUGAGGGAAAGGCGAAAAGAACCCCGGCGAGGGGAGUGAAAAAGAACCUGAAACCGUGUACGUACAAGCAGUGGGAGCCUCUUUAUGGGGUGACUGCGUACCUUUUGUAUAAUGGGUCAGCGACUUAUAUUCUGUAGCAAGGUUAACCGAAUAGGGGAGCCGAAGGGAAACCGAGUCUUAACUGGGCGUUAAGUUGCAGGGUAUAGACCCGAAACCCGGUGAUCUAGCCAUGGGCAGGUUGAAGGUUGGGUAACACUAACUGGAGGACCGAACCGACUAAUGUUGAAAAAUUAGCGGAUGACUUGUGGCUGGGGGUGAAAGGCCAAUCAAACCGGGAGAUAGCUGGUUCUCCCCGAAAGCUAUUUAGGUAGCGCCUCGUGAACUCAUCUCCGGGGGUAGAGCACUGUUUCGGCAAGGGGGUCAUCCCGACUUACCAACCCGAUGCAAACUGCGAAUACCGGAGAAUGUUAUCACGGGAGACACACGGCGGGUGCUAACGUCCGUCGUGAAGAGGGAAACAACCCAGACCGCCAGCUAAGGUCCCAAAGUCAUGGUUAAGUGGGAAACGAUGUGGGAAGGCCCAGACAGCCAGGAUGUUGGCUUAGAAGCAGCCAUCAUUUAAAGAAAGCGUAAUAGCUCACUGGUCGAGUCGGCCUGCGCGGAAGAUGUAACGGGGCUAAACCAUGCACCGAAGCUGCGGCAGCGACGCUUAUGCGUUGUUGGGUAGGGGAGCGUUCUGUAAGCCUGUGAAGGUGUGCUGUGAGGCAUGCUGGAGGUAUCAGAAGUGCGAAUGCUGACAUAAGUAACGAUAAAGCGGGUGAAAAGCCCGCUCGCCGGAAGACCAAGGGUUCCUGUCCAACGUUAAUCGGGGCAGGGUGAGUCGACCCCUAAGGCGAGGCCGAAAGGCGUAGUCGAUGGGAAACAGGUUAAUAUUCCUGUACUUGGUGUUACUGCGAAGGGGGGACGGAGAAGGCUAUGUUGGCCGGGCGACGGUUGUCCCGGUUUAAGCGUGUAGGCUGGUUUUCCAGGCAAAUCCGGAAAAUCAAGGCUGAGGCGUGAUGACGAGGCACUACGGUGCUGAAGCAACAAAUGCCCUGCUUCCAGGAAAAGCCUCUAAGCAUCAGGUAACAUCAAAUCGUACCCCAAACCGACACAGGUGGUCAGGUAGAGAAUACCAAGGCGCUUGAGAGAACUCGGGUGAAGGAACUAGGCAAAAUGGUGCCGUAACUUCGGGAGAAGGCACGCUGAUACGUAGGUGAAGUCCCUUGCGGAUGGAGCUGAAAUCAGUCGAAGAUACCAGCUGGCUGCAACUGUUUAUUAAAAACACAGCACUGUGCAAACACGAAAGUGGACGUAUACGGUGUGACGCCUGCCCGGUGCCGGAAGGUUAAUUGAUGGGGUUAGCGGUAACGCGAAGCUCUUGAUCGAAGCCCCGGUAAACGGCGGCCGUAACUAUAACGGUCCUAAGGUAGCGAAAUUCCUUGUCGGGUAAGUUCCGACCUGCACGAAUGGCGUAAUGAUGGCCAGGCUGUCUCCACCCGAGACUCAGUGAAAUUGAACUCGCUGUGAAGAUGCAGUGUACCCGCGGCAAGACGGAAAGACCCCGUGAACCUUUACUAUAGCUUGACACUGAACAUUGAGCCUUGAUGUGUAGGAUAGGUGGGAGGCUUUGAAGUGUGGACGCCAGUCUGCAUGGAGCCGACCUUGAAAUACCACCCUUUAAUGUUUGAUGUUCUAACGUUGACCCGUAAUCCGGGUUGCGGACAGUGUCUGGUGGGUAGUUUGACUGGGGCGGUCUCCUCCUAAAGAGUAACGGAGGAGCACGAAGGUUGGCUAAUCCUGGUCGGACAUCAGGAGGUUAGUGCAAUGGCAUAAGCCAGCUUGACUGCGAGCGUGACGGCGCGAGCAGGUGCGAAAGCAGGUCAUAGUGAUCCGGUGGUUCUGAAUGGAAGGGCCAUCGCUCAACGGAUAAAAGGUACUCCGGGGAUAACAGGCUGAUACCGCCCAAGAGUUCAUAUCGACGGCGGUGUUUGGCACCUCGAUGUCGGCUCAUCACAUCCUGGGGCUGAAGUAGGUCCCAAGGGUAUGGCUGUUCGCCAUUUAAAGUGGUACGCGAGCUGGGUUUAGAACGUCGUGAGACAGUUCGGUCCCUAUCUGCCGUGGGCGCUGGAGAACUGAGGGGGGCUGCUCCUAGUACGAGAGGACCGGAGUGGACGCAUCACUGGUGUUCGGGUUGUCAUGCCAAUGGCACUGCCCGGUAGCUAAAUGCGGAAGAGAUAAGUGCUGAAAGCAUCUAAGCACGAAACUUGCCCCGAGAUGAGUUCUCCCUGACUCCUUGA
rnacentral:rRNA from 1 species